rnacentral:rRNA from 1 species
UACGUAGGGGGCAAGCGUUGUCCGGAAUCAUUGGGCGUAAAGCGCGUAGGCGGCCCAGUAAGUCCGCUCUGAAAGUCAGGGGCUCAACCCCUGGAUGCGGGUGGAUACUGCUGGGCUAGAGUCCGGAAGAGGCGAGUGGAAUUCCUGGUGUAGCGGUGAAAUGCGCAGAUAUCAGGAGGAACACCGAUGGCGAAGGCAGCUCGCUGGGACGGUACUGACGCUGAGACGCGAAAGCGUGGGGAGCGAACAGG